GAUUAAGUUAUUAAGGGCGCACGGUGGAUGCCUUGGCACUAGAAGCCGAUGAAGGACGUUACUAACGACGAUAUGCUUUGGGGAGCUGUAAGUAAGCUUUGAUCCAGAGAUUUCCGAAUGGGGAAACCCAGCAUGAGUUAUGUCAUGUUAUCGAUAUGUGAAUACAUAGCAUAUCAGAAGGCACACCCGGAGAACUGAAACAUCUUAGUACCCGGAGGAAGAGAAAGAAAAUUCGAUUCCCUUAGUAGCGGCGAGCGAAACGGGAAGAGCCCAAACCAACAAGCUUGCUUGUUGGGGUUGUAGGACACUCUAUACGGAGUUACAAAGGACGACAUUAGACGAAUCAUCUGGAAAGAUGAAUCAAAGAAGGUAAUAAUCCUGUAGUCGAAAAUGUUGUCUCUCUUGAGUGGAUCCUGAGUACGACGGAGCACGUAAAAUUCCGUCGGAAUCUGGGAGGACCAUCUCCUAAGGCUAAAUACUCUCUAGUGACCGAUAGUGAACCAGUACCGUGAGGGAAAGGUGAAAAGCACCCCGGAAGGGGAGUGAAAUAGAACCUGAAACCGUGUGCUUACAAGUAGUCAGAGCCCGUUAAUGGGUGAUGGCGUGCCUUUUGUAGAAUGAACCGGCGAGUUACGAUUUGAUGCAAGGUUAAGCAGUAAAUGUGGAGCCGUAGCGAAAGCGAGUCUGAAUAGGGCGUUUAGUAUUUGGUCGUAGACCCGAAACCAGGUGAUCUACCCUUGGUCAGGUUGAAGUUCAGGUAACACUGAAUGGAGGACCGAACCGACUUACGUUGAAAAGUGAGCGGAUGAACUGAGGGUAGCGGAGAAAUUCCAAUCGAACCUGGAGAUAGCUGGUUCUCUCCGAAAUAGCUUUAGGGCUAGCCUCAAGUGAUGAUUAUUGGAGGUAGAGCACUGUUUGGACGAGGGGCCCCUCUCGGGUUACCGAAUUCAGACAAACUCCGAAUGCCAAUUAAUUUAACUUGGGAGUCAGAACAUGGGUGAUAAGGUCCGUGUUCGAAAGGGAAACAGCCCAGACCACCAGCUAAGGUCCCAAAAUAUAUGUUAAGUGGAAAAGGAUGUGGCGUUGCCCAGACAACUAGGAUGUUGGCUUAGAAGCAGCCAUCAUUUAAAGAGUGCGUAAUAGCUCACUAGUCGAGUGACACUGCGCCGAAAAUGUACCGGGGCUAAACAUAUUACCGAAGCUGUGGAUUGUCCUUUGGACAAUGGUAGGAGAGCGUUCUAAGGGCGUUGAAGCAUGAUCGUAAGGACAUGUGGAGCGCUUAGAAGUGAGAAUGCCGGUGUGAGUAGCGAAAGACGGGUGAGAAUCCCGUCCACCGAUUGACUAAGGUUUCCAGAGGAAGGCUCGUCCGCUCUGGGUUAGUCGGGUCCUAAGCUGAGGCCGACAGGCGUAGGCGAUGGAUAACAGGUUGAUAUUCCUGUACCACCUAUAAUCGUUUUAAUCGAUGGGGGGACGCAGUAGGAUAGGCGAAGCGUGCGAUUGGAUUGCACGUCUAAGCAGUAAGGCUGAGUAUUAGGCAAAUCCGGUACUCGUUAAGGCUGAGCUGUGAUGGGGAGAAGACAUUGUGUCUUCGAGUCGUUGAUUUCACACUGCCGAGAAAAGCCUCUAGAUAGAAAAUAGGUGCCCGUACCGCAAACCGACACAGGUAGUCAAGAUGAGAAUUCUAAGGUGAGCGAGCGAACUCUCGUUAAGGAACUCGGCAAAAUGACCCCGUAACUUCGGGAGAAGGGGUGCUCUUUAGGGUUAACGCCCAGAAGAGCCGCAGUGAAUAGGCCCAAGCGACUGUUUAUCAAAAACACAGGUCUCUGCUAAACCGUAAGGUGAUGUAUAGGGGCUGACGCCUGCCCGGUGCUGGAAGGUUAAGAGGAGUGGUUAGCUUCUGCGAAGCUACGAAUCGAAGCCCCAGUAAACGGCGGCCGUAACUAUAACGGUCCUAAGGUAGCGAAAUUCCUUGUCGGGUAAGUUCCGACCCGCACGAAAGGCGUAACGAUUUGGGCACUGUCUCAACGAGAGACUCGGUGAAAUCAUAGUACCUGUGAAGAUGCAGGUUACCCGCGACAGGACGGAAAGACCCCGUGGAGCUUUACUGUAGCCUGAUAUUGAAAUUCGGCACAGCUUGUACAGGAUAGGUAGGAGCCUUUGAAACGUGAGCGCUAGCUUACGUGGAGGCGCUGGUGGGAUACUACCCUAGCUGUGUUGGCUUUCUAACCCGCACCACUUAUCGUGGUGGGAGACAGUGUCAGGCGGGCAGUUUGACUGGGGCGGUCGCCUCCUAAAAGGUAACGGAGGCGCUCAAAGGUUCCCUCAGAAUGGUUGGAAAUCAUUCAUAGAGUGUAAAGGCAUAAGGGAGCUUGACUGCGAGACCUACAAGUCGAGCAGGGUCGAAAGACGGACUUAGUGAUCCGGUGGUUCCGCAUGGAAGGGCCAUCGCUCAACGGAUAAAAGCUACCCCGGGGAUAACAGGCUUAUCUCCCCCAAGAGUUCACAUCGACGGGGAGGUUUGGCACCUCGAUGUCGGCUCAUCGCAUCCUGGGGCUGUAGUCGGUCCCAAGGGUUGGGCUGUUCGCCCAUUAAAGCGGUACGCGAGCUGGGUUCAGAACGUCGUGAGACAGUUCGGUCCCUAUCCGUCGUGGGCGUAGGAAAUUUGAGAGGAGCUGUCCUUAGUACGAGAGGACCGGGAUGGACAUACCUCUGGUGUACCAGUUGUCGUGCCAACGGCAUAGCUGGGUAGCUAUGUGUGGACGGGAUAAGUGCUGAAAGCAUCUAAGCAUGAAGCCCCCCUCAAGAUGAGAUUUCCCAACUUCGGUUAUAAGAUCCCUCAAAGAUGAUGAGGUUAAUAGGUUCGAGGUGGAAGCAUGGUGACAUGUGGAGCUGACGAAUACUAAUCGAUCGAAGACUUAAUCAA
rnacentral:rRNA from 1 species